GGUAUGGGAUGAGCUUGCGUCCGAUUAGCUAGUUGGCGGGGCAACGGCCCACCAAGGCGACGAUCGGUAGCCGGCCUGAGAGGGUGAUCGGCCACAUUGGGACUGAGAUACGGCCCAGACUCCUACGGGAGGCAGCAGUAGGGAAUAUUGCACAAUGGGGGAAACCCUGGUGCAGCAACGCCACGUGUGGGAAGAAGCAUUUCGGUGUGUAAACCACUGUCAUGAGGGAAUAAGGCCCGCCUUCGGACGGGAUUGAAUGUACCUUGAGAGGAAGCACCGGCAAACUUCGUGCCAGCAGCCGCGGUAAUACGAGGGGUGCAAGCGUUGUUCGGAAUUACUGGGCGUAAAGGGAGCGUAGGCGGAGAUUCAAGCGGAUUGUACAAUCCCGGGGCCCAACCCCGGCUCUGCAGUCCGAACUGGAUCUCUUGGAUAGUUCAGGGGCAGGC
rnacentral:rRNA from 1 species